CCUAAAAGUAUGCACUUGAAGGAUGUCAUGCCAAGUGUCACUGAGCAGCUGACAGUCUCCCUUUUUCUUUUUACAGUGAUGCCUGGAGCCUAUACUAGACACCCCAGAAGAAGAACAUGUGCCAGUGAUUAUAAAUACAGCAGAGCAUGGGGGAUGGUCAAGAGAGGAAAAGUGAAAGAUAUAUUUUACAACUUACUGAGAUAUGAGAUCUGGCACCUUAAUUUUUAAUUUUAAAAGCAAUGUGUAAUGUUUUAUAUACAAGUUUCCAACUGUUACCGGAAAGAGGUCUUGAUCCAGACUCCAAGAGAGUGUUCUUGAAUCUCAUGAAAGAAAGAAUUCCGGGCCUUAUUGCCUUGCAGCACCUUGCUUCAGUGGAGACUUUUCAAGACCUACAACCAACUUGGCUGAGGCUGGGCCAUGCUUCUCCUGCCCAGCUCUCUCUCUCCUGCAGAGUGGCUGUCAGGCAGCAAGGAA
rnacentral:lncRNA from 13 species